UACGUAGGGUGCAAGCGUUAAUCGGAAUUACUGGGCGUAAAGCGUGCGCAGGCGGCUUUGCAAGACAGAUGUGAAAUCCCCGGGCUCAACCUGGGAACUGCAUUUGUGACUGCAAGGCUAGAGUACGGCAGAGGGGGAUGGAAUUCCGCAUGUAGCAGUGAAAUGCGUAGAUAUGCGGAGGAACACCAAUGGCGAAGGCAAUCCCCUGGGCCUGUACUGACGCUCAUGCACGAAAGCGUGGGGAGCAAACAGG
rnacentral:rRNA from 1 species